ACUCAAAUGAAUUGACGGGGGCCCGCACAAGCGGUGGAGUAUGUGGUUUAAUUCGACGCAACGCGAAGAACCUUACCUGGUCUUGACAUCCCGGGAAUCUGCUGGAAACAGUGGAGUGCCUCGUAAGAGGAACCUGGUGACAGGUGCUGCAUGGCUGUCGUCAGCUCGUGUCGUGAGAUGUUGGGUUAAGUCCCGCAACGAGCGCAACCCUUGUCUUUAGUUGCCAGCAUUAAGUUGGGCACUCUAAAGAGACUGCCGGUGUCAAACCGGAGGAAGGUGGGGAUGACGUCAAGUCCUCAUGGCCUUUAUGACCAGGGCUACACACGUACUACAAUGGCAUACACAAAGGGCAGCGACAUCGCGAGGUGAAGCGAAUCCCAAAAGUAUGUCUCAGUCCGGAUUGGAGUCUGCAACUCGACUCCAUGAAGUUGGAAUCGCUAGUAAUCGCGGAUCAGCACGCCGCGGUGAAUACGUUCCCGGGCCUUGUACACACCGCCCGU
rnacentral:rRNA from 1 species